rnacentral:rRNA from 1 species
UACGAAGGAUGCAAGCGUUUAUCCGGAUUCAUUGGGUUUAAAGGGAGCGUAGGUGGCCUUAUAAGUCAGUGGUGAAAUCUCUCAGCUUAACUGAGAAAUUGCCAUUGAUACUGUAGGGCUUGAGUAUAGUUGCCGUUGGCGGAAUAUGACAUGUAGUGGUGAAAUACAUAGAGAUGUCAUAGAACACCGAUUGCGAAGGCAGCUGACGAAACUAUAACUGACACUGAGGCUCGAAAGUGCGGGGAUCAAACAGG